GGGGAGGGGGGCGAUCCGGCUGACGCUGAGGGACUGCGGCGGUAGCGGACCAGGACGUGCCCAGGGGGUCUGUGUGUACUGCAUCAUCAGUGAGUCAGAAGCCUCAAGAGAAUGCAUAUCAAUUUCUGUCCAGAGAAGAUGGCUCAUGCUGUUCCUGUUCCCAUUCCCUGUCCGGUCCAGCUUGGAAGUAUAAAAAAUGACUCUCUGGAAGCUCAACUACAUGAAUAUGUCAGGCAAGGAAACUAUGUGAAAGUGAAGAAACUUCUGAAGAAAGGUAUUUUUGUUGAUGCGGUAAACUCCGUGGGUCAAACUUCUCUCUUCACUGCUGCGUUGCUAGGUCUUGGUAAAAUAGUGGAUGUGCUGUUGGAUUAUGGCUCAGACCCUAAUCAUCGCUGUUAUGAUGGAAGCACCCCAGUCCAUGCAGCUGCAUUCUCAGGAAAUCAGUGGAUUCUUAGCAAAUUAUUGGAUGGAGGAGGUGAUCUGAGAGUACACGAUAAAGAUGGAAAAAAUCCACAAUACUGGGCAAUGUCAGCUGGAAAAGAAAGUAGUGCUCAGAUGUUAGAAUUUAUACAGCGUUGUACAUCACACAUGCAGGCUGCCAUUCAAAAUUUUCCCUCUGAUCUACUCAGGAAGGCUGACUCAUCAAAAGCACUGAUUCGUAGUCCAUCUAGGUUUGGUGGCCUCGUUCAAGGAAAUGUUCAGAGUCCUCUCAGUAGAUUUCUGAAAGGUGGAGUUAAUUCAGCCAGGAACAUUUACAGCUUUGGUUUUGGAAAGUUUUAUCUUACAGGCAGCAGACAUCUUGGAUACUUGGCGUCUCUCCCUAUUAUUGGGGAAAAAGAAGUGAUUCAGGCAGAUGAUGAACCAAUGUUUUCCUACCAUGUUGGGCCAUACAUGAUCAUGACAAACUUAAUGUGGGGAGGCAGCAGAGUUACAGUGAAGGAACUCAGCUUUGAGCCCCAUCAGAACUGUAGUAAACUGCGCUUGGCUGAUCUUCUUAUUGCAGAGCAGGAAUAUAGCAGUAAACUUCGUCAUCCUCAUUUGCUGCAGUUGAUGUCUGUUUGUCUGUCUAGUGACUUGGAAAAAACCCGUUUAGUAUAUGAGAGGGUUAACUUUGGUUCUCUGUACAGCAUUCUCCAUGAAAGGCGUUCAGAAUUCCCUGUGCUGCGCAUGGAGACAAUUUUACAUCUACUGCUUCAAAUUAAUGACACUUUGCGUUUUUUACACUCCCGUGGAUUUAUCCACCGUUCAGUUACCUCCUAUGCGAUUCAAAUUGUUUCUUCUGGUGAGGCGAAGUUAUGCAACUUGGAAUACAUGAUAGAGAGCAAAGAUGGAGGAGAACACAGUGAUCUGACUCGUAUUCCUGUCCCAGUCCAGCUGUUUAAAUGGUGCUCUCCUGAAGUAAUCCUUGAAAAAGCUGUCACAGUCAAGUCAGAUAUUUAUAGUUUCUGUACAGUAAUGCAGGAGGCCUUGACAGAGACACUUCCCUGGGAUGGUCAUGAAGACUCAGUUAUUAAACAGCUCAUAAGUUCAGGACAGCAUUUAGAAGCGGAUGUCAGACUUCCAAAACCCUAUUAUGAUAUUGUAAAGUCAGGGCUAGAACCUAAGCAGAAGAACCGUUCUAUGAACCUUCAGGAUAUUCAGUACUUGAUGAAGAAUGACUUGAAGGACUUGACUGAGUCUCAAACUGGUCAUGCUGAUGAAAUACCAAAAGCGCAAAGGUCUGCUGUCUUGGCUGACAUAAACAUCUGUUUAGCAUCAGCUUUUAACUACCAGAAAAGAACAUUGGGAUUGGAAGGAGAAGAGAUAACAGAGAUUGGCAAAUCCACUGCCCGAAGAUACUCUCAUUUCCCUGAGGAGUCUGAGGCUUUAUUGGUGGAUGGUGAGACACCAAGCAGUCUACAGCCAGUUGCCCAGGAAAAAAGUCAUGACGUAGCUUCUGAACUCCAGGUGACCUGCAGUGUCAGUGAUGUGGAUGAGAGUCUCUGUAGCUUUGAAAUGAAUGAAAUCUUUGCUGAUUACCCAGAAUUUCAUGAAGACUUUCUGGAGGAAAGCACUGUGUUAGGUCAUAAUCUGAAGGAUGAAAAAAGACAGCAAAAAGAAGAAGAAAAGACUACCCUCAGAGAUCUAUUUGCACCCCCUGGAAUGCACUAUGAGGAAAAACCAGUUUAUGAGGAAGGUAGCUUUUCAGAAUUGGGUACAGAGUACACUACAGAAGAGGAAGAAAGGAUAAGUGAGGCCUCCCAGCUGUGCGAACGAUCACAAGUGAGAGAAGAUGCUGGGAAAAGAAUGACUAGUUCAUCCCAAAUUGGACAGCACAUCAGCAAAUGUGUCCUGAAUCUAAAGAUUGCUCAGAGCAUGUUGCAGCAGGCAUCAGGAUCACUGUGCAGAACAGAGGAGAAACUAAACAAAUUAGAGACCACUGAAAAGCAAAAGAAGCUGCUCCAGGAAAUCCAAAUGAAUCAGACUUGUAAGCAGAUUUUUCUAGAAAGAUCCUGGAACGGAUCUGAUAAUAUUCCUCAAAAUACCAGUAGCCCAUUUUCCAGAGUUAAUACUUUUUUAUGGAAGGCUAUAGGUCCACCAUCAAGUGACUAUAUUCCACCACUGAUCACAUGUCAGGCACAAGGUGUUUUGGGUGAAGACUAUUUCCAAGCUAUUCCAAAAGUAUCUGAGGGAACAUGGACAAUCCAGAAUGAAAAUGGGAAGUGCUUUCAUCAGAGGAGUAAGACUGAAAAUGAAGACAAACUCAGCUUCAGCACAGUGAAAAGCCUGGAUGAUCAGAUGGAACUAGAUCAUGAGCAAUUACUCCCACGUGGAUCUCAGAGAUGCAAAAAAAAGUUCAACUUGCAGUGUCAGAAAGGGAGUGACUCACGUUCUGCAGCAAGUGGAAUUGAAGAAGAAAGGUGGUGCUGUCCCAAGUCAACAUCUGAAACUUACAGUACCAAAAUAAGCGAGGAGAGAAGGGUGAUGCAAUCAGAAUGGAGGACUGAAGUAAAACAGAUGGCCAGAAGAGUGGCUUCAGGACAGCUAGAACUCAUCUCUCCAUAUCCACCCAGUGAAUAUACAUCUGAAAGUGAAGCUGAGAGUAUAAAGGAAGCCUUUCAACAUGUCACUAUCAGAGUCCAAAAAAGUCAAGACUGGCAAAAAGAUAGGAGGUGGAAGGUAGAUGACAAUGCUGAGGAUUUGGGCAGUGAAGAGAGGUCUGAGUCUGAGGACAGUGAUCUGGAAUCUGCAUUCAACAGUCUUGGAGGGAGAAGUUGCCAGUCACCAUCAAAAGAUAAGCAAGCAGAAUCUGGAACAGCCCAUCAAAAGGAUUCAGUUGUUCCUCAGCAAGUCAAGAAUCUCUCCAGAGGGCAUUCAAAGGAAUUACGUUGUUCCCCUGAUUCAUCUCCGGAUGUGUCUGAAGAAUUUUUGACUCCUGAUCCUGAUUAUUUCCUUCCUCCCACUAUUCAAGAAAACUCAGAACUAGAGACUUCAAAUCCUGAGGGCAAAUUGGAAGAUACUCAAGAAGUCUAUGUACAGAAACAGAUACCUAGUGAUGCUGGAUCAGGAGGAAAAAUAUUACUCUGCAGCACAGCAGCACAGAAUUCUGGCAGUAACACAUUAGGAGUGAAUCAACUUAGCCAUAUGCCCGUAGCCAGUGUUGAAGCAGCACAAGAAGUGAUUCUAAGAGAGCCACUGAAAGAAUCCAAAGAGAAAGAUACAUCACUGACAGAUAUUCAAGAUUUGUCAAGCAUUUCCUGUGAGCAAGAGAGCUACUCUAAGGAUAUUAACUGUAAAACACCCAGAGGGAGUCAUGCACCAACGAGUGUCAGCACUCCACUUGGCUCAGAAGAAAAGCUUCCAGUAGCCACUGAGAAAUACAGACACUCUAAUGAAAUAGUGUUGGAUACUUCCUCUUGGAUUUCUGAAGAGAUUUCCUCUGCAGUGUCCAGGACAUUCAGUACAGCUUAUGAAGAGGAAAAGAGCACUGAAAUUUCCUCUGAUUCUUCAGGAGUUUGCUCCUCUAGAUUGAACAAGCUUAGCAGGUUGUCAGUAACAUCCUUGAGAAGCCCCAGGAAGGAACCUGCACUAUCCCAGACAUCUAACCACUUCAUUGAUGAGCUGCCUCCACCAGCCCAAGAGCUACUGGAUGAAAUUGAAUAUUUAAAGCAGCAAGAUUCCACCACUCAAAACUUGAAAGAGAAGGCAUUGUGUGACUGUGAUGCGCCAAUAAAAGUUUCCAAUCAAAUUAAAAUAGAAGAGGGAGAGGCAAAAAAGGAAACUGAGAGAAAUGAGAAGAGAGAUCAUAGCUUAUGGACUGAAGAGACAUUAAAUCUCGCAGAGGAAACAGAAAGGGCUCAUUCUACUCUUGAUGAUAUUUUAGAAAGAAUGCUCCAAACAAUACCUGAAGAUGAGGAGAACCAAGAACAUCCUCAAGUGCACAGUCUUACAACUAAAGAUCCGAGCCUAAUAACUCUGAAAGAUUCUACGCUAUGCCAGACUGCAAACCUGAACGAUCCAGGAGAUGGUGGAAAGAAGAAUGGAGUAAAGGAAUGCAAAACAAGGGGAGAAAGCAGAGGGCCAGAAAGCUGUACCAGCAGUCCUGAAGGUCCCUUUAAUCUACUCACAUCAUGAGGAUCAGAAAUUGCGCUUACGGCGUCAACUGUCUUGGCCUUCUCCAUUCAGGGUAAUUGUUUUGGAUCAGAGAAGCUCUCCUAAAUGAUGAAAAUGGAUAGUGAAUAAAUUCUAAUAUAUCACCUGCUUACUGCAGAUUGUACAGUAUAACAUGUGAACUACAACCACGUUUGGCCACACAAACAAUUGUAAUCCUCAGACUGCCUUUAACUGCAGCAGCAAACACAGAAAAGAACCUAGUGUUUUACUUUAAAGCAGUUCUUAUUUUAUGCUAUCAUAGUAUAUCAAGGACAGUAUCCAUAAUACUGCAAAACUAAAUUGUUUUCUGAAUAUCACAUCCUUGUAAGCUUGCUAUGCAGUUGUUUUUCCUGUAGGUGCAUGCUUUCCUAAGCAAAAGAAUUUCUUGCUCUAUUGCAUUACUCAGUCUUCCAGUAUUAUGGACAAAAUGAUUGUAAUUCUGUAGGCUGCUGUUAAGGCUCUUGUUUAGUUCUCAGGGCUGGCGUGUGGAGUACUGUGUUACAGCCUACAUGGUGUGUGUGUUUUUCCUUGCUCAUUAAAUUUAACAAGGUAAUUUCUUGUUUUCUCUUUUCUUGGUGUUUUUGUAAUCUAAAGUUGAACUGAUUUGACUGAUUAAUGGGACUAAUUGCUGUGCAGAAAAUUAAUGAGAAAACGCCAGUGUUAUCCAGAGACUGCAAAUGGAGCAGUACGUUCACUGCCAGUGUCAGACAAAAAUAUGAGAAAACCUUCAUUAGUAUUAUUAAGAUAUGUCUGUUGCUUAAUCAAACUGUACUUUUGGUAGGUUUGAUCUGAAGAGAUAAUUCUGGAUAUAAUUGAACUCUGAAGAGGCUUUUUGAUGGGCACAGCAACUUCAUGUUUUAACUUUUCUUGUUACUAAUACUGUUUCGGUACAGGAAGCUUAAAGGUUGUCCUGGUACCUUUGUACCAAACAUUAGGGAUUUAGCUGCUUUCAUGCGGUUUGGGGGUAUACUAUGUGUUGCACUGUUGUCGUCGUUCAUGUACAGAAAUUCUGCUUAUCUGUAACUAUUAAAUUAGUUCAUUUGGUUUAACAAUACCAGUAAAGUUAAGAUUACCAUGUU